rnacentral:sRNA from 1 species
AUGUCGGUGGUACAGUAUUCUAGUCAGACUCUUCCAUCUCUGAAGACGGGGUUAAACGACCGUCAAAGGGCACAUCGAUGAAGUUUCUUGUGUUGGCUUUGGUUGCCCAAACCAGGGCUGAUGCUGGGAGUUAAGAAAUAUGGGGAGCCCGUAACGGCAUACGGCGCCCGACCCAUUUUUCGCGGAGACCAAUGUCGGUGGCGGUAUCAUCCCGCUACUGCUUUGGGUGAAACCUGUAUUGCGGCUAAAAGCUGUGUGCAGCGUAGCCUGCCUUGAUCGUGAAACUUGCGGAUCUGAGAUCAGACCUGCCCUCGGUCGGCCGACCGAGACGGUUAUCGCUCAAUGAAACUUUUUUUGCAAAAGAGGCUAGGAAUGGGGAGUUUGCCAAGGAAAGCUUCUAGACUGACGGCAUCCGGGAUUAUAGUGUGGACUCAGUGGUGAUACAGUUCUGCCCACGGCGACGUGGCAGUCGGCGUUUUAAAAGGAAACUGCCUUUUCGGCGACGAGAGGUAAUGCCGGGGGAAAUCUUACUGUACCUUAUGCCGCAAAGUUUACCGGAUGCCUUACCACCGUCAUUUUU